CCUACGGGAGGCAGCAGUGAGGAAUAUUGGUCAAUGGCCGGAAGGCUGAACCAGCCAUGCCGCGCGAAGGUCAGUGCCCUAUGGGCGUUAAACUUCUUUUGUGCGGGAGCAAUAAUGGUCACGUGUGGCCAGACGAGAGUACCGUACGAAUAAGCAUCGGCUAACUCCGGUCCAGCAGCCGCGGUAAUACGGGGGAUGCAAGCGUUAUCCGGAUUUAUUGGGUUUAAAGGGUUCGUAGGCUGGGAGGAAAGUCAGCAGUGAAAUGCCCCCGCUCAACGGGGUGAAGUGCCAUUGAUACUGCAUGGCUGGAAAGCGGAUGCGGUGGGAGGAAUGUGUGGUGUAGCGGUGAAAUGCAUAGAGAUCACACAGAACACCGAUUGCGAAGGCAUCUCACGAAUCCGCGAUUGACGCUGAGGCACGAAAGCGUGGGUAUCAAACAGGAUUAGAUACCCUUGUAGUC
rnacentral:rRNA from 1 species